UGCAAUUGUUCUCCAAACUGAUGAUAUUGCGCCGUGGCCGAUGACACCAAGAAGAUUUGACAAAUUUGCAUAUACAACGCCGAGGUAGGUACAGUGUGUGCACAGUGGCGGUGACGACGACGACGACGACACGCCUCUUAUUUGACAAAUGGAGAAACGCCGGCGGCUUUAAGUGUGACUGACUGAGAUUGAGAGCAUUAAUCAACUGGAAUGGUAACGGCCAGUCGGCAGCUGCUCCAAUGGAGGGUAAAUUCAAAUGUAGAGGCAAAGCUGCAUUGUUUCUACCAUAUUCAUUGUUUUUGGAGGGUGGAGAGGGGUGGGCCCAGGGGGUGGGCAUUCGAAUUGACAGCUGGAAAACCUUGUUUUUAUUUUGUGGCUUAAAUAAGCUCCAAUACCUACAUAAGUAUAUAUAUUUUCGUGUGACUUGAGGCACGCGUGUUAAUGGCUUGUUAUGGCUUUUGUCACCCAAUCGAAACAUAUUUUCAGAGCAACUGUUAACGGCUUUAAAUAAUUAUUAUUGAUUACCGAUAUUGAUUGCCAUUGUAUGUGGGUAUUGUAUUCGAUUGUAUUGUAUUGUACUUUACUCUGUGGCAGUAACUAUCAUUGUGACUGUCUUUAUGGCUGUGGCAGUGAAAGUGUUUAUUAUGAUCUAUUGCUGAACCUUUUCUUUGAGACCUGCCAAGGGCCAGUUAACUUAUGUAAGCAUAACAACAAUGGCAAGACCAACAACAACAACAACAACAACGCACUUAAGUCCUUUCACUUUUCUUCAUUUGACAUACAAUUUGAGGCUUUCUUUCUUUUCAUUAAUAUCGACUCAUUUUUUUUAUAUGCAGUUGUAUCUUAUUUCAGUAAUAUGAGUGACAGGAAACUUUUCUCUUGACUCCCAAGUAACCCAUUUUGGUGUCAAUAAAGAAAGAAAAAACAAAAUGCACUUGUCAUUGUCCCAAAAAAAGCACCUGUUCCCAUUUCAGCAGAACAUACUUAGUAUAGAACCUUGUUAUAGAUCCACUAGUAUAUAAAUUACUUCCGAACCUCACUUAAUUAAUUAAGUUUUCUGACUUGCGGACAUGAGAUCAUAUCUACUUGUAUUUGUUGUCUUGGCUAUCAGCCACAUGGUGGUAUCAAUCCCAAAUAUUCGUUGUAAUAUACCAUGCACUCGGGAAUUCCGUCCUGUUUGCGCCAUCUGGCGUCGUCCUAAUCAAUGGCCCGUGGCCUGCACUUUCCCCACCGAAUGCACCAUGAGGAGUCACAUUUGCCAAACCGGACAACAGUGGCGAAUUCAGGAUAAUAAAGAAUGCAUCGUGAGCUCUCGGGAAUGUGGAGAUCUUCUGAGAGGUCGAACCCGUUAUGGAGCUUAAGUUCCUAAAUAACCCACAUUAAUAUUGAACCGAUUUACAUUUCAAUUCCUUAAGGCAAGUUUUUGAAAUUACCGUAAAUUGACUUCAAUAACAAAAAAGUACAAAAAAAGCAUAUUUAUUCAAAUAUCUGACUAUAGAAAGUUAUAUUAUAAACCAAACGAAGACCAAGCUAAAAUCUUUGAAUCAAUUUGUCAUACAGAAAAGACUCUAAUCUGAUUUAGGGAAAGUUUCCCUUUCCAAACUAUAAGGAUGGUUUAAUUUUAGCUACAUAACUCCAACACAUGAUACGAUAUUACAGCUUCAUUUGGACUUAAGAUAAAUUACAUCAACAAAAUUAUUUCAUCUACUUAUGAUUAAACACAAGAGCAACAAAUUGCCCAAAUGAUUUGCCCAUUUGGACCAUAAAUCUUGUUGUAACGCUUUACAGUCUGCAUGAUUUGCAACUUUUGUACACACUUCAGUAUGUAAAGUGACCGAAAAAAACUACAAAAAUAAAAGUGCUUAUUAAAACUCGUUAA